rnacentral:rRNA from 1 species
UACGGAGGGUGCUAGCGUUAUCCGGAUUCACUGGGCUUAAAGGGUUCGUAGGCGGUCUGUUAAGUCAGCGGUGAAAGCCUGGAGCUCAACUCCAGAAUUGCCAUUGAUACUGACGGACUUGAAUCAAGUUGAGGUGGAUGGAAUAUUACAUGUAGCGGUGAAAUGCUUAGAUAUGUAAUAGAACACCGAUUGCGAAGGCAGUACACUAAGCUUGCAUUGACACUGAGGCACGAAAGCGAGGGGAUCAAACAGG